CAAAUGAAUUGACGGGGCCCACACAAGCGGCGGAGCAUGCGGAUUAAUUCGAUGCAACGCGAAGAACCUUACCAAGGCUUGACAUACACCGGUAACGCCCAGAGAUGGGUGCCCCUUUGUGGUCGGUGGACAGGUGGUGCAUGGUUGUCGUCAGCUCGUGUCGUGAGAUGUUGGGUUAAGUCCCGCAACGAGCGCAACCCUCGACCUUAGUUGCCAGCAUUCAGUUGGGCACUCUAAGGUGACUGCCGGCUAAAAGUCGGAGGAAGGUGGGGAUGACGUCAAAUCAUCAUGCCCCUUAUGACCUGGGCUACACACGUGCUACAAUGGGCGGUACAAAGGGUCGCGAACCCGCGAGGGGGAGCCAAUCCCAAAAAGCCGCUCUCAGUUCGGAUUGCAGGCUGCAACUCGCCUGCAUGAAGCCGGAAUCGCUAGUAAUCGCGGAUCAGCAUGCCGCGGUGAAUACGUUCCCGGGCCUU
rnacentral:rRNA from 1 species